rnacentral:rRNA from 1 species
CCUACGGGUGGCAGCAGUGGGGAAUAUUGGACAAUGGGGGGAACCCUGAUCCAGCGACGCCGCGUGAGUGAAGAAGUAUUUCGGUAUGUAAAGCUCUAUCAGCAGGGAAGAAAGAAAUGACGGUACCUGACUAAGAAGCACCGGCUAACUACGUGCCAGCAGCCGCGGUAAUACGUAGGGGGCAAGCGUUAUCCGGCUUUACUGGGUGUAAAGGGAGCGUAGACGGCGAGGCAAGUCUGAAGGGAAAGGCGGGGGCCCAACCCCCGGACUGCUUUGGAAACGGUAUGGCUGGAGUGCAGGAGCGGUAAGUGGAAUUCCUCGUGUAGCGGUGAAAUGCGUCGAUAUUAGGCGGAACACCAGUGGCGAAGGCGGCUUACUGGACUGUACCUGCCGUUGCGGCUCGAAAGCGUGGGGCGCAAACCGGAUUAGAUACCCUUGUAGUC